AUCCUCGUGCUUGCACAGAAUGAUUAGUGGCGAACGGGUGAGUAACACGUGAGUAACCUGCCCCUGACUUCGGGAUAAGCCUGGGAAACCGGGUCUAAUACCGGAUACAACGGACCACCGCAUGGCGGUCCGUGGAAAGCUUUAUGCGGUUUUGGAUGGACUCGCGGCCUAUCAGCUUGUUGGUUGGGGUAAUGGCCCACCAAGGCGACGACGGGUAGCCGGCCUGAGAGGGUGACCGGCCACACUGGGACUGAGACACGGCCCAGACUCCUACGGGAGGCAGCAGUGGGGAAUAUUGCACAAUGGGCGGAAGCCUGAUGCAGCGACGCCGCGUGAGGGACGAAUGCCUUCGGGUUGUAAACCUCUUUCAGCAGGGAAGAAGCGAAAGUGACGGUACCUGCAGAAGAAGCGCCGGCUAACUACGUGCCAGCAGCCGCGGUAAUACGUAGGGCGCAAGCGUUAUCCGGAAUUAUUGGGCGUAAAGAGCUCGUAGGCGGUUUGUCGCGUCUGCUGUGAAAGCCCGGGGCUCAACCCCGGGUCUGCAGUGGGUACGGGCAGACUAGAGUGAUGUAGGGGAGACUGGAAUUCCUGGUGUAGCGGUGAAAUGCGCAGAUAUCAGGAGGAACACCGAUGGCGAAGGCAGGUCUCUGGGCAUUAACUGACGCUGAGGAGCGAAAGCAUGGGGAGCGAACAGGAUUAGAUACCCUGGUAGUCCAUGCCGUAAACGUUGGGGCACUAGGUGUGGGGGACAUUCCACGUUUUCCGCGCCGUAGCUAACGCAUUAAGUGCCCCGCCUGGGGAGUACGGCCGCCAGGCUAAAACUCAAAGGAAUUGGACGGGGGUCCCGCACAAGCGGCGG
rnacentral:rRNA from 1 species